AUGAGGUGCCCUGCUCAGCUCCUGGGGCUGGUUAUGCUCUGGAUCCCAGGAUCCAGUAGAGACGCUGUGAUGACACAGACUCCACUCUCCUUGCCUGUUGCUCCUAGAGAGUCGGCCUCCAUCUCCUGCAGGUCUAGUCAGAACCCUCUACACAGUAAUGGAAAGACCUACUUGUUUUGGCUCUUGCAGAAGCCAGGCCAGUCUCCAAGCCCCCUGAUCUAUGAGGUUUCUAACUGGUAUUCUUGGGUCCCAGACAGGUUCAGUGGCAGUGGGUCAGGGAGAUUUCACACUCAAAAUCAGUAG